AGUUGAUGCAGGAUUACAAGAGGAAUCGUCCGAUGUUACACGAACUGUUACCCUACUCGGUGACCAGCUACCGAGUUUAAGAAGACAACGCACUCUAAAAUGUGAUUGGAAUACUUCUGCAUUUGUAUAACUCCUGUACCUUAUUAUGAGUCUAAAUCUCCAUGGGAAAAGCCUGCCAAAAAUUCAGAAAACAAAACAGAAUAGCCCAACAACAACACGCUGUACAUGUCGUCAUGAAGGCUAAGCUGGCUGCAAAACAAAAAGGGGGAGAUGUUGGAGCCCGACCAGAGUCAUGAGGAAGUUCCUACAGACACUGCCUUGCUUUCAGUGUCAUGCUGGAAGCAGCUUGGAACUCUGAUUGAACUGGGCAGGGGUCAGCAUGUCAUGAUGCAGCUUCUUCUUGACACUGAUUGAUUAUGCUAUGCUUUGUUUAGGCAAAGUUAGAGGGGACAUCCUGUCUAGACGGAAAUGUAGAUGAUUGAAAUAUGGGGAUGGGAGGUUAAUCAUCGACAGAGCAAGAUCAAUAGCCUUUUGUCCACAUGGAUUUGGUGAUGCAUCCCCUAGUGUACUGUAUUACAAUAAAAGAAGGUUGCUGGGUUUGAUUAAU